rnacentral:rRNA from 1 species
UUGGAGGGCAAGUCUGGUGCCAGCAGCCGCGGUAAUUCCAGCUCCAAUAGCGUAUAUUAAAGUUGUUGCAGUUAAAAAGCUCGUAGUUGAAUUUCGGGGUUCUACCGUCGGUCGGGCUACCAAGUCUGUACUGGUGUGUAGAAUUUCCACCUUCUGGGGAACCAUCAUGUUAUUAAUUUAGCGUGGUGGGAAACCAGGACCUUUACCUUGAAAAAAUUAGAGUGUUCAAAGCAGGCUUAUGUCUGAAUACAUUAGCAUGGAAUAAUAGAAUAGGACGGUGGUCCUGUUUUGUUGGUUUCUGAAUCACCGUAAUGAUUAAUAGGGAUAGUUGGGGGCAUUAGUAUUCAAUUGUCAGAGGUGAAAUUCUUGGAUUUAUUGAAGACUAACUUCUGCGAAAGCAUUUGCCAAGGAUGUUUUCAUUAAUCAAGAACGAAAGUUAGGGGAUCGAAGACGAUCAGAUACCGUCGUAGUCUUAACCAUAAACUACGCCGACUAGGGAUCGGACGAUGUUAAAUUUUAUUGACUCGUUCGGCGCCUUACGGGAAAC